rnacentral:rRNA from 1 species
UACGGGGGGGGCAAGCGUUGUUCGGAAUUACUGGGCGUAAAGGGCUCGUAGGCGGCCGACUAAGUCAGACGUGAAAUCCCUCGGCUUAACCGAGGAACUGCGUCUGAUACUGGACGGCUUGAGUUCGGGAGAGGGAUGUGGAAUUCCAGGUGUAGCGGUGAAAUGCGUAGAUAUCUGGAGGAACACCGGUGGCGAAGGCGGCAUCCUGGACCGACACUGACGCUGAGGAGCGAAAGCCAGGGGAGCAAACGGG